CCCCUUUCUGAAACGGAAAACCCAGAGUUUCCCUCAUUUCAGGGUUAACAUACUCAGAGUUUUCACUUAACCUCCUUUUUGAAACAGGCCCCUGAUUUAUGAAGCUGUG